UCCUCUUUGGCCAAGUGGUAAGGCGUUCCACUCGUAUUAGACAUGGAAAGAUCACUCGUUCGAUUCGGGUAAGAGGAG